rnacentral:tRNA from 1 species
GCUCUUGUAGCUGAGUUGGUUAGAGCACUAACCUCCUAAGUGAAGGUUUUAAGUUCGACUCUCAGUGAAAGCA